rnacentral:lncRNA from 1 species
GGAUCUCAGAGUGCAGCCUUUGGUGUGGAAACAUUGCAGCAAGUGUCAGGAUUCGUGUCCUGACCCGUUACAAGCCUCAGUGUUACUGAGAUGAGAGAAAGCAAAGCUCCUGCAGACACAGAGGCAUACUUCAGCCUGGUCCAGGACCAAAUCUCCUCUUAGCAUUAAUAAUACAUCAGUGGCUUUGGCGGGGGCAUGGUGACAUCAGUGUGGUACAUCUCUUGGGGAAAGACAAUCCAUCAGCGUUGGGGUGUUACUUCUGCUGCCUUCGGACCGAUAACCCAGCUGGUGCUUCACGAGACGUGUCAAUGUGAGGCCGUGUGUGUGGCUGUGCAAAGAGGAAUGGCAUCUUGAAAAUCAUCUUGAUAAAUACCUGCCGUCGGAGGCUGAGCCCUCCGCUGACAUAAAUAAGGUGCUCCCGUGCCGGAGCGGAGCUGCAGCGAUGUGACCCAGAAUCCUGUUGCAGGGUUGGGAUCGUUCCCAGCACAGUCCUGUGCUUCAAUCUUCUGCGUGACAUCAGAUAAGUAAACACCAAGAUUUGAUGUGAGAACAUAUGUCCAUUGCAUAAUUCAUUAGCAUUCUUCUCUGGAAUUACUUUUAGAUAUAUGUACUUAGAUCAGAAUUAGUGGGUGAGGGUUAUUCUGGGGAAAAAAGAAGCUAUGGCAGCUUUCAGAAAUGGGUGCUUCUCCUGGGACUGAAGGCAAGUUUGGCCAUUCAUUGUGUUUGCUUCUUAAACGAUUAUUUUGGUCGUGUAGAUUCAUUUCCUGCAAUUUGGGUGUGAGGUGGUGGAAGAACAGUGGCACAGAAACCCUCAGCUUAGCACUGCUGCUAAGUGCACUGCUCAGAAAAUAUAAUUAUCAUCUCGACCAAUUUCAUAGCUGUGUAACUCCAUCGCCUUGAGUAUAGUCGUUCCUGAUUGCCAAACACAAGAAACAUUCAAAACUAUUUACCUUCUGUUUUGCAACGUACCCGCUCCAUGUUUGUACUGCUUAGCAGGCAAAGUCAAUUGUUAGCCUGCCCAGGCUGUGCAGAUGUACGGUAACAGCAAAUCAUCGCAGCGCUUACAGCUUGUUCUCUUGUGUCAGCAAGAAAAUUGGAAGCAUGUUCAGCUUCUGUGGGACGCCUGGGAUGUGCGUUGUUCUCUAACGAAGCCAUUGCAUGCACCCUUUUCCUUGCCUCAUUUCAUCUUGACAUGCAGUGCAGCCAAUGGCUCUGGGGGUUGUUUUGCUGUAGGAAUGUUUGGGGGGAAAAAAAACCAAACCCAUCCCAAAACAGUACUGUACAGUAUGAGUCACUGAGGAGAAAUGGGAGGAGGAGUUAUUUUGAGGGCUUUUAUAUCUUCCUUAUUGCUAGGAGACUGCUUCCCCUGAGUGCAGCGCUCUCCGGGCUCCCAACAGCUGCCUUGUUUGCACUGAGGGCAAUUCACAGAGCAGCUUCGUAGUAGAGGAGAAACAAACCUGGAUGGAGCUCAUUGUCACUUCUCAUGCUUCUGAGACAAAUGCAGGAGUAAAUGGGAGACAGCUGCUAGUGCCAAGGACAGCAUUGUGCCCAAAAUGUCGGGGCUCUGGGGCUGAUCUCAGAGCUCUGCUCAGGUGCCAGGACAGCCACAGGCUGUUCUCUGCAAAGAGCCGUUCCAGGCCUGGGAUUCAGAGCAUGAGGAUGUGCUUUGCCCAUAGCUUUGCUGUUGCAAAAGCAAUACCUAAGUCCUGUAAGUCACGAACACCUGAAGGCUCCUCUGCCCUGGCUGGGUGUGUGGGGCUGGGGCAAAACAAUCCAUUGGGAGUGAACUGUCAGGAAAAUGAUGCUGAGACCAUCACUGGUAUUGCUGGUAUUGAUGGUGAUGGCUGCAGCUUUCCCACCCAGCGGGGGCCUGAGAGGGCAUGGCAGCGGGGUGAGCUGCCCACGGGCCUCCCAGCACUGGUGUUCUGUAAGGGGGAAUAUGUGGAGUGAAGUCCAGACUUCAUUUGUAAUGCACCCCUACUGCGAACUGUUUGCAGAGACUGGGUCUAGCAACAAGGGAGGUAAGGCUAUCAAUAUAUCAUUUUGCUCUGAAGUCGUGAGGCUGUUGCACAUUUUAUGUAAGCAAGUACUCAGUCACAUUAAUUUUAGGCAUCUGAGACUGUAUUUAUGAUGUACUAAAUCCAACUUUAUGUUCCUGGUAGCAAUCAGAGAUGUCAUGGUCCUCAGAGGUAAAGCACUGAAUGGGUACAAAUGCAGCCUGCUGGCUCAGGAAAUGUUGAUGGGUCAAUUCCAUGCAGCCAAGGCUUGGACUUCAUCAGGUUUUGUCCUCCUGUCUGUAAAUGGCGUGACUGGCAAAAGCAAUGGCAACGCAGGUCAGUAAUUUGUGCUUUGAUUUGACCAUGGAGUGACUGUAUAACUACCAGAUAAGGGCUACAUGUGCACUGCUAAGGAAGCCAGCAGUGAAAAUGCACUAUUGCCAAUCUAGCAUCCCAGGUCUGGUCUGUCCCUGAUGGCUGCUCCAUGAGCUCUGGUGGGAGUUUACACUGUGAGCUAUUGGUGCUCUGAGUUACACCAGAGGCAGAUCCUCAAAGCAGCCUUCAAGAGAAAGUGUGAACAGCAGCCAGAUAGCACACGUGACUCUGAGUUAUAAAAUUCUCAGUUCUGAAUAAAAAUUGUUUUCCGGGAACCACAGAUUUAAUAAUGCAGCUGAAGUAAUCUGAUUGUGUUUGGGAUUAUAAAUGGACAAAUCUCCUAGGGCUGUAGUCAUAAAGUCUAGGGAAAAAAAAAACAACAAAUCUAGUUAAUGAGAAUGUGUGAAUUUAUCAUCUAGAAGGGAGUUACGGAGACAACUGUACAAUAUCUCUUAUUGCAUCUUUCACGCUAAUGCCAGAUGGCUGGGAAUGGGAUCCCCCAUGUUCUCCUCCUUGUCUAAGAAGACAAGAAUAUAAACAAGGAAAGUGUCUGUGAUGGUAUUAUUUGGCUGCCUGGUAAGAUGAGUCAUUGCUUUUGAUCGCUUAAAUAAUUAGGACUGCUUUAUAAUUUGAUUACAGUGUUAUCUCUUUCUGCUCUGUAACCCCAGGUUUUGGGUUUCCAGCAGUAGCUCAUCCUUACCAAUAUUCCUCCUCACAUGCUGUCCUUUCCACGUCCCCAUUUAGUUCUGCCUCACAGAUCGCAAGCUCUCAAUCACCUUUUUACCUUCUCUUAGUUCAUGCUCUUCCCCUGUGCUAACUGCUUGUGACUAAUGCACAUUUUCGGGCCAAACAUCAGGUACCCUCAGCACUGUGCUGUGUAAAUAGACCAGCAGGUGUAAGCAGUACAUUAGAAAAGCUUUACUCGACAUAAAUUAGUACUUACAGGAGCCGUCCCUGCAUGUCCCAAAGGCAGGCCAGAUGGCCAGCGUUGGCGUGGGCUGGCCCCAGCCUCACCCCGGGGACUUCUCCUUGGUUUCUUCACACCAGUGGAGCAGUGUGGUCUGUAGCUAUGAAAGUUUCCAUUCUUAAUUUUAAUUUGCAGAAGCUGGGAGCCAUUUGCAAGCGCUGGCUCCAAUUAGGGAAUGCUGGCGCGUGGCGGCUGUGCAGGGUGAUAUUGGGAUGGUCUUCUCCCAAGGCGAGCUCUAGGCUUUUGUCUCUUGCCAUGACAACAAGGCUAUCAGUAGAUGAGGCUCUGAUAUGAGGUUACCAGCAAGCAGAGUGCAUUUGCCCACACACUUUUGAUCAGGGAUUGGUCCUUGUCGCUUCCUUGUCGCUGGCUGGACUUUGAAAGCGCCUUUGAUCCAGCUAUGCCAAAGAAAUGCAGUUGUUUGAAGUCUUUGAUCCUUUCUGUGGGCAGACUAGGCCCAGAGAUCUUGAUGGGCUAGAGCUGUUUCUGAGCAUUUCUUCCUUAUUAAGACUCAGCAUAAGCUGCAUAAAACUCUUUCCAUUGGCACGUCUGAGCAGACCCAGACCAGGUUGUUUUACACCAGUUGGUGGGUUGGAGUAGAAACCCAUCCCUCCAUCACUCUUGUCGUCUAUGGGACCAUCAUGUGAGUCACCAAGCUUCCCAGGCUCAGCUGCCUUCCAACCACAGGACAAGGUUGUGCCAGGAAUCACAGGAGACAAAACAUAGGGAGGGAACUUUCAGUGGUCAUUUUAAGGCAGAAAUUUUGUCAGAAUGAGAUAGAAAAUAGUGGGUUUGCUGAUAGGCACAGGUUGCUUGGGUGAGACAGGAGUGGGUACAGGUGUGGGUGCCCUCUGCUCAGGUUUUGUUCUGGAGGUGCUUGAUGUGCUGUACAAUCCCGUGCUCCAUGGCACUGGGGGGGGGUCCUGCUGUAUGCAUGCUCUGUGUCUGGAUGUUUAUUUUUAAGUGGAUAAUAUGCUGCCUUUCCUAUUCAGAGAGCGUACCAAAGCAAUUUUUGUUCCUUAGUGAAUACCAGAAAUAACUGGGUAAGUACAAAUAUAUCUCCUAGCAGCCUUGUUUGUGACCGAAGUGUGCACUGAGUCUUCUCACUACAUCAGGGCUGCAAAUAUUCGAGUCACAUUCGGAUGGCAAAGCCAACGGCACAUAGCUUUAAUUACAAUAUUUCUCUCCAACAGUCUUUCUCUCAUGUUUUUUUCUGAACAUUGUUUAAAGAACUGAUGAAAGGGAUGAAAACUUUUCAAACUUUCCUUUUCUUAGGGUCUCAUCAGCUCAGUCUUUCAUCACACAGUCAAUAAACAGUUGAAAAGGACUCUUCUGAACUGCAGCAGGAGGGAGGAGGAAGAGGGGAAAUUAAUGAUAUCACCAAACUGAAAACUCUUUCAAGUUGCCUUUAAUUGCAGAGGGCAUGGGCAGCGAUUUCAGUUUUUAGCUCUCAGAUCUCUUGCUGUCCCCAGAGGGGUUUGCCCUCCUCUCCUCCUGCACUGCCAGCAUUCCUCCUGGAGUGGCUGAGCCAGGUGGCAGUGGGGCAGGCAGAUGACUCCAGCAUGGGCUCCAACUCAUGUCUCCAACACCAUCACCUCCAGCACUUUCCCUCCUCAUGGCACUCCUGAAGUUGAUGUCCCCCAGGACCCCAACUUCACAUGAGCACCUGAAUUCAAGGCACCCAUGGAGCUGUGCUCCCUAUUUCCAGUCUCUCGUAGAAAAUCUUCAGAGUAGAAAGGAGAGGAUCUGGGAGGUGGAAGAAAUAACAGAUGUGCUGCUGUGCUGGAGACGUUUCCAGGCUGAACCCCUCCGCACCCCUCCCAACAUCAGUAUUCUGCUUGUUGUCCCCACCGGCCAGCAUGAACUGCCCUGAUGUCUUCUUGCUGUGAAUUCAUGCCUUCGUGAGGAAUAAAUACUCACGAGGCUUCCAAGAGGGACAUUCCCGAAGCCGGUGCUGUGCAGCAGGCUUAGCGUAUUUUGCCUUUCCUGGCUCAAGCACUCACAGGGCACUGUUCCCCUAUAGAAUCAUCUCUUAGCAUUGCCAGCCUCCACAAUUUUGCACAGAAAUGGGACCAGAAGUGCUGUGCCUGGACACGAGAAGAUCUCUUAGGACUGGCCUGUGUAAGAACCUUUAACAUCAGCUGCACCUCCUGGACUUGGAAUGAGCACAGCAGAUGUGUGUGUUACCAACAAGCACAGUGUGGCAAUGGCAGAAGGAGAUCCCACCCCAGAGCUCAUCUGCAAAGUGGGGAUAACACGGAAUGCUUCCUGCUGAAAAAGAAAAAACGUUUUAACCCAUCUGCCAAGCAACUGCUUCAAAUUAUAUUUUGUGAUAAAAGCAAAUGAAGCGUAAUUGAGAAGAGACAAGAGAAUCUUGCCCUGAGAACAGAGCGAUAAGAAACGCGUUGUGACAACGGUGCGAUGUAUAUCGUUACUCUGCAGUGCACCAAACGUCCCCGCUGCCCCAGAGCUGUGACUGUGCUGUGGGGAGGGCAGCUGGCUGCUGUGGUCGUGAAGCUGAAGAUGUGCCUUCCUCCUCCUGUGUGAGACCGCUCCUCUAAGCCUUACACACGUUGCUGGAAGACUUAGGCCAACCAGCUGCCAGGAAUGAGGCAAAAAAGGCACUGAGAUGCUCCUGGAGAUGCUGCUUAAAGAACAAAUGUCAGACAGAGAUGCCUGCUGCAGGUAUGCAAGCUGCCCAACCUGCAGCCUGUUCCAGGUUAUUAGAAAGCACUGAGGGACGUGUGUCUGAACGGCAGAAAACUGAAGAAGUCACGCACUCCGGCUCAGUACUGUGGACCGGGUGCAUGGCAGCACCUUGCAAAGGAGCAGCACGAGGACAAGCAUCACUCUGCGCUGCAGGGAGGGACCUGCCUCCAUCUCCCAUGGGGGUUGACCUUGUGGCUGCCCUGCUCUCUCCAUCGCUGAGCACAGAUCCCAGCCUGGAAGCUGCACUCAUGUCAGCUGGAUGGAGCGGGAGCUGCUGCUGCCUCGGCUGCUCUUCGUUGUGCCUGCAAAGCAUAUUUAAAUGGAAGUUCACUGCCCUCCUGGGCACAUGGAUUUGGUAAUGAAACCCCCAGAGGUGAGGAAGGAGUCAACAGACAGACCCAUAUGGGCAACACUGGAGGAUUAUGUGCAGUGCUGGCCAAACGACUUCCACUAGCCACAGCAACACCUCUUGGUGGCCAUGCAGCUGGUAACCUCAUCUGAUGGAGCCGUGCGGUGUCCCCACACCUCCUGUCCUUCCCAUCAGCUCUAUGGGCACCUGAGCCUCUGACUGAACUGCUGCUUAAACGGGG